UACGGAGGGAGCUAGCGUUGUUCGGAAUUACUGGGCGUAAAGCGCACGUAGGCGGCUCAGCAAGUCAGGGGUGAAAUCCCGGGGCCGUCAACCCCGGAACUGCCCUUGAAACUGCUAGCUAGAAUCUUGGAGAGGCGGAGUGGAAUUCCGAGUGUAGAGGUGAAAUUCGUAGAUAUUCGGAAGAACACCAGUGGCGAAGGCGACUCGCUGGACAAGUAUUGACGCUGAGGUGCGAAAGCGUGGGGAGCAAACAGG
rnacentral:rRNA from 1 species